GGUUAAGCGACUAAGCGUACACGGUGGAUGCCCUGGCAGUCAGAGGCGAUGAAGGGCGUGCUAAUCUGCGAUAAGCGCCGGUAAGGUGAUAUGAACCGUUAUAACCGGCGAUACCCGAAUGGGGAAACCCAGUGUGACUCGUCACACUAUCAUUAACUGAAUCCAUAGGUUAAUGAGGCGAACCGGGGGAACUGAAACAUCUAAGUACCCCGAGGAAAAGAAAUCAACCGAGAUUCCCCCAGUAGCGGCGAGCGAACGGGGAGGAGCCCAGAGCCUGAAUCAGCAUGUGUGUUAGUGGAAGCGUCUGGAAAGGCGCGCGAUACAGGGUGACAGCCCCGUACACAAAAGCGCAUGUGCUGUGAGCUCGAUGAGUAGGGCGGGACACGUGGUAUCCUGUCUGAAUAUGGGGGGACCAUCCUCCAAGGCUAAAUACUCCUGACUGACCGAUAGUGAACCAGUACCGUGAGGGAAAGGCGAAAAGAACCCCGGCGAGGGGAGUGAAAAAGAACCUGAAACCGUGUACGUACAAGCAGUGGGAGCACCCUUUGGGGUGUGACUGCGUACCUUUUGUAUAAUGGGUCAGCGACUUAUAUUCUGUAGCAAGGUUAACCGAAUAGGGGAGCCGGAGGGAAACCGAGUCUUAAUUGGGCGUUAAGUUGCAGGGUAUAGACCCGAAACCCGGUGAUCUAGCCAUGGGCAGGUUGAAGGUUGGGUAACACUAACUGGAGGACCGAACCGACUAAUGUUGAAAAAUUAGCGGAUGACCUGUGGCUGGGGGUGAAAGGCCAAUCAAACCGGGAGAUAGCUGGUUCUCCCCGAAAGCUAUUUAGGUAGCGCCUCGUGAAUUCAUCUCCGGGGGUAGAGCACUGUUUCGGCUAGGGGGCCAUCCCGGCUUACCAACCCGAUGCAAACUGCGAAUACCGGAGAAUGUUAUCACGGGAGACACACGGCGGGUGCUAACGUCCGUCGUGAAGAGGGAAACAACCCAGACCGCCAGCUAAGGUCCCAAAGUCAUGGUUAAGUGGGAAACGAUGUGGAAGGCCCAGACAGCCAGGAUGUUGGCUUAGAAGCAGCCAUCAUUUAAAGAAAGCGUAAUAGCUCACUGGUCGAGUCGGCCUGCGCGGAAGAUGUAACGGGGCUAAACCAUGCACCGAAGCUGCGGCAGCGAACGUAUCACUUAAAGCGAUUCAGCGGGUUACGAUUGACGGAGCGAAGCGACGUCAAAGCGUAUACAAAGUCGAGUCGGUUUAAGGAUACGUUCGUUGGGUAGGGGAGCGUUCUGUAAGCCUGUGAAGGUGGCCUGUGAGGGUUGCUGGAGGUAUCAGAAGUGCGAAUGCUGACAUAAGUAACGAUAAAGCGGGUGAAAAGCCCGCUCGCCGGAAGACCAAGGGUUCCUGUCCAACGUUAAUCGGGGCAGGGUGAGUCGACCCCUAAGGCGAGGCCGAAAGGCGUAGUCGAUGGGAAACAGGUUAAUAUUCCCGUACUUGGUGUUACUGCGAAGGGGGGACGGAGAAGGCUAUGUUGGCCGGGCGACGGUUGUCCCGGUUUAAGCGUGUAGGUGUGUGUUCCAGGUAAAUCCGGUUCACUUUAACACUGAGGCGUGAUGACGAGGCACUACGGUGCUGAAGCAACAAAUGCCCUGCUUCCAGGAAAAGCCUCUAAGCAUCAGGUAACAUCAAAUCGUACCCCAAACCGACACAGGUGGUCAGGUAGAGAAUACCAAGGCGCUUGAGAGAACUCGGGUGAAGGAACUAGGCAAAAUGGUGCCGUAACUUCGGGAGAAGGCACGCUGACACGUAGGUGAAGUGAUUUACUCAUGGAGCUGAAGUCAGUCGAAGAUACCAGCUGGCUGCAACUGUUUAUUAAAAACACAGCACUGUGCAAACACGAAAGUGGACGUAUACGGUGUGACGCCUGCCCGGUGCCGGAAGGUUAAUUGAUGGGGUCAGCGCAAGCGAAGCUCCUGAUCGAAGCCCCGGUAAACGGCGGCCGUAACUAUAACGGUCCUAAGGUAGCGAAAUUCCUUGUCGGGUAAGUUCCGACCUGCACGAAUGGCGUAAUGAUGGCCAGGCUGUCUCCACCCGAGACUCAGUGAAAUUGAACUCGCUGUGAAGAUGCAGUGUACCCGCGGCAAGACGGAAAGACCCCGUGAACCUUUACUAUAGCUUGACACUGAACAUUGAGCCUUGAUGUGUAGGAUAGGUGGGAGGCUUUGAAGUGUGGACGCCAGUCUGCAUGGAGCCGACCUUGAAAUACCACCCUUUAAUGUUUGAUGUUCUAACGUGGACCCGUAAUCCGGGUUGCGGACAGUGUCUGGUGGGUAGUUUGACUGGGGCGGUCUCCUCCUAAAGAGUAACGGAGGAGCACGAAGGUUGGCUAAUCCUGGUCGGACAUCAGGAGGUUAGUGCAAUGGCAUAAGCCAGCUUGACUGCGAGCGUGACGGCGCGAGCAGGUGCGAAAGCAGGUCAUAGUGAUCCGGUGGUUCUGAAUGGAAGGGCCAUCGCUCAACGGAUAAAAGGUACUCCGGGGAUAACGGCUGAUACCGCCCAAGAGUUCAUAUCGACGGCGGUGUUUGGCACCUCGAUGUCGGCUCAUCACAUCCUGGGGCUGAAGUAGGUCCCAAGGGUAUGGCUGUUCGCCAUUUAAAGUGGUACGCGAGCUGGGUUUAGAACGUCGUGAGACAGUUCGGUCCCUAUCUGCCGUGGGCGCUGGAGAACUGAGGGGGGCUGCUCCUAGUACGAGAGGACCGGAGUGGACGCAUCACUGGUGUUCGGGUUGUCAUGCCAAUGGCACUGCCCGGUAGCUAAAUGCGGAAGAGAUAAGUGCUGAAAGCAUCUAAGCACGAAACUUGCCCCGAGAUGAGUUCUCCCUGAGACUUAGAGUCUCCUGAAGGAACGUUGAAGACGACGACGUUGAUAGGCCGGGUGUGUAAGCGCAGCGAUGCGUUGAGCUAACCGGUACUAAUGAACCGUGAGGCUUAACCUU
rnacentral:rRNA from 1 species